GCAACUCGACUGCAUGAAGCUGGAAUCGCUAGUAAUCGCGGAUCAGAAUGCCGCGGUGAAUACGUUCCCGGGUCUUGUACACACCGCCCGUCACACCAUGGGAGUCAGUAACGCCCGAAGUCAGUGACCGAACCGAGAGGACGGAGCUGCCGAAGGCGGGACGGAUAACUGGGGUGAAGUCGUAACAAGGUAGC
rnacentral:rRNA from 1 species